UACGUAGGCAGCAAGCGUUGUUCGGAAUUACUGGGCGUAAAGAGUGUGUAGGCGGUGUUCUAAGUCUGUUGUGAAAUCUCCCGGCUUAACUGGGAGGGUGCGGCGGAAACUGGAAUGCUAGAGGAUGGGAGAGGUAAGCGGAAUUCCUGGUGUAGCGGUGAAAUGCGUAGAUAUCAGGAGGAACACCGGUGGCGAAGGCGGUUCUCUGGGCCUGUACUGACGCUGAGGAGCGAAAGCGUGGGGAGCGAACAGG
rnacentral:rRNA from 1 species